rnacentral:rRNA from 1 species
GAUGAACGCUAGCUACAGGCUUAACACAUGCAAGUCGAGGGGCAGCGGGAUUGAAGCUUGCUUCAAUUGCCGGCGACCGGCGCACGGGUGAGUAACGCGUAUCCAACCUUCCGUACACUCAGGGAUAGCCUUUCGAACGAAAGAUUAAUACCUGAUGGUAUGAUGAGAUUGCAUGAUAUCAUCAUUAAAGAUUUAUCGGUGUACGAUGGGGAUGCGUUCCAUUAGGUAGUAGGCGGGGUAACGGCCCACCUAGCCAACGAUGGAUAGGGGUUCUGAGAGGAAGGUCCACCACAUUGGAACUGCGACACGGUCCAAACUCCUACGGGAGGCAGCAGUGAGGAAUAUUGGUCAAUGGACGAGAGUCUGAACCAGCCAAGUAGCGUGAAGGAUGAAGGUCCUACGGAUUGUAAACUUCUUUUAUAAGGGAAUAAACCCUCCCACGUGUGGGAGCUUGUAUGUACCUUAUGAAUAAGCAUCGGCUAACUCCGUG